UGUUGUUUUGUUUUUUGAGACAGAGUCUCACUCUGUCACCCAAGCUGGAGUGCAAUGGCACAAUCAUGGUUCACUGCAGCCCCGACUUACUGGACUCAAGUGAUCCUCCUGCCUUAGCCCCCCCCAGGUUGCUGGGACUACAGGGUCCUACUCUGUCACCCAGGCUGGGGUGCAGUGGCAUGAUCUCAGCUCACUGUGGCGUCAGCAUCCCAGGCUCAAAUGGUCCUCUCGCCUCAUCCUCCCAAGUAGCUGGGACCACAGAAACCCAAACUGGAGAACAUGUUCAGUGAAGCAACCAGGACUAAAUCAUUUGAAAUGCAUUAGCCAGCACGCGCUCCAAAUUAACUCAACACCAGUCACAUGUGUCUGGGGGAGUCUUCCCUGAAAGGUGGCAUGAGUUGAUUGGACCCCGGGAGUAACGCUGCACAGCAUGGCCCCAGAUCUGCUACUAACCAUGCACUGCACAGGGAAGGCUGCUUGUUACUAAGGCCUCUAUGGAAUCAGGGGGAACGGCCAACAAACCAGUGCAGAGCCUGCAAAAGUCAGACAGAAGG